UUGUCAUCGCGGGUAUUAUG
rnacentral:miRNA from 1 species